rnacentral:rRNA from 1 species
CUCUAUAGCCAUACUACCCUGAAUGCACCUGAUCUCCUCUAUCUCAGUAGCUAAGCAGGGUCAGACUUGGUUAGUACUUUCGUGA